rnacentral:snRNA from 1 species
GGAUGUGAGGGCGAUCUGGCUGCGACAUCUGUCACCCCAUUGAUUGCCAGUGUUGAUUCAUCUGAUCUGGCUAGCUAGGGGUGUCCCCUUCUUCCGUCACCGCUCCAUGUGCGCUCCGCUCCGUUGAAGAGGACGACCUUCCCCGAUAGAAGGAGGACCGUCCUUUGGUCAAGGGCAUGGGAGUAGCUGCACUGUCCUGCUGGAACCUCCAAACAAGUCUCCUAACAGAAAUAAGUAGGCGGAUAACGCAUUUUAUGAUAAUAGAAAUAACGAGAAGGAUUCCAAAAUGAAAAGUUUUUCUACCU